GACGAACGCUGGCGGCGUGCUUAACACAUGCAAGUCGAACGAAGAGCGAUGGAAGCUUGCUUCUAUCAAUCUUAGUGGCGAACGGGUGAGUAACGCGUAAUCAACCUGCCCUUCAGAGGGGGACAACAGUUGGAAACGACUGCUAAUACCGCAUACGAUCUAAUCUCGGCAUCGAGGAUAGAUGAAAGGUGGCCUCUACAUGUAAGCUAUCACUGAAGGAGGGGAUUGCGUCUGAUUAGCUAGUUGGAGGGGUAACGGCCCACCAAGGCGAUGAUCAGUAGCCGGUCUGAGAGGAUGAACGGCCACAUUGGGACUGAGACACGGCCCAGACUCCUACGGGAGGCAGCAGUGGGGAAUCUUCCGCAAUGGACGAAAGUCUGACGGGGCAACGCCGCGUGAGUGAUGACGGCCUUCGGGUUGUAAAGCUCUGUUAAUCGGGACGAAAGGCCUUCUUGCGAAUAGUGAGAAGGAUUGACGGUACCGGAAUAGAAAGCCACGGCUAACUACGUG
rnacentral:rRNA from 1 species